GACGAACGCUGGCGGCGUGCCUAAUACAUGCAAGUUGAGCGAUGAAGAUUGGUGCUUGCACCAAUUUGAAGAGCAGCGAACGGGUGAGUAACGCGUGGGGAAUCUGCCUUUGAGCGGGGGACAACAUUUGGAAACGAAUGCUAAUACCGCAUAACAACUUUAAACAUAAGUUUUAAGUUUGAAAGAUGCAAUUGCAUCACUCAAAGAUGAUCCCGCGUUGUAUUAGCUAGGUGGUUAGGUAAAGGCUCACCAAGGCGAUGAUACAUAGCCGACCUGAGAGGGUGAUCGGCCACAUUGGGACUGAGACACGGCCCAAAACCCUACGGGAGGCAGCAGUAGGGAAUCUUCGGCAAUGGACGAAAGUCUGACCGAGCAACGCCGCGUGAGUGAAGAAGGUUUUCGGAUCGUAAAACUCUGUUGGUAGAGAAGAACGUUGGUGAGAGUGGAAAGCUCAUCAAGUGACGGUAACUACCCAGAAAGGGACGGCUAACUACGUG
rnacentral:rRNA from 1 species